CACGUAGGGCGCAAGCGUUGUCCGGAAUUAUUGGGCGUAAAGAGCUCGUAGGCGGUCUGUUGCGUCCGCUGUGAAAACUCGGGGCUUAACCCCGAGCCUGCAGUGGAUACGGGCAGACUAGAGGUAGGUAGUGGAGAAUGGAAUUCCCGGUGUAGCGGUGAAAUGCGCAGAUAUCGGGAGGAACACCGUUGGCGAAGGCGGUUCUCUGGGCCUUACCUGACGCUGAGGAGCGAAAGCGUGGGGAGCGAACAGG
rnacentral:rRNA from 1 species